GGAAUAUUGCGCAAUGGCCGAAAGGCUGACGCAGCGACGCCGUGUGUGGGAUGAAGGCUUUAGGGUUGUAAACCACUGUCAGGAGGGACGAAAUCAAUGACGGUACCUCCAAAGGAAGCGCCGGCAAACACCGUGCCAGCCGCCGCGGUAACACGGAGGGCGCGAACGUUGUUCGGAAUCACUGGGCGUAAAGCGCACGUAGGCGGUUGGGUAAGUCGCUUGUGAAAGCCCGGGGCUCAACUCCGGGAUGCCAGGCUAUACUGUCCGACUAGAGCACGGUAGAGGCAAGUGGAAUUCCCGGUGUAGCGGUGGAAUGCGUAGAUAUCGGGAAGAACACCAGUGGCGAAGGCGGCUUGCUGGGCCGUUUGCUGACGCUGAGGUGCGAAAGCGUGGGGAGCAAAC
rnacentral:rRNA from 1 species